rnacentral:rRNA from 1 species
GCAAGUCGAGCGGAAACGAGAAGUAGCUUGCUACUUCGGCGUCGAGCGGCGGACGGGUGAGUAACACGUGGAUAAUCUACCUCCUUGUUUGGGAUAGCUUGUGGAAACAUAAGGUAAUACCGAAUGAGAUUCAUUAGUCAAAAGGCUUUUGAAGGAAAGGCGCUGAGGCGUCGCAAGGAGAUGAGUCCGCGGCCCAUUAGCUAGACGGCAGGGUAAAAGCCUACCGUGGCAAUGAUGGGUAGCCGGCCUGAGAGGGUGAUC